AGAGUUUGAUCCUGGCUCAGAAUCAACGCUGGCGGCGCGCUUAACACAUGCAAGUCGCACGAGAAAGUGGAGCAAUCCAUGAGUACAGUGGCGUACGGGUGAGUAACACGUGGAUCAUCUACCUCUUAGUGGGGAAUAACCCUGGGAAACCGGGGCUAAUACCGCAUAAGCUCGAGAGAGGAAAGCAGCAAUGCGCUGAGAGAGGAGUCCGCGGCCGAUUAGCUAGUUGGCAGGGUAAAAGCCUACCAAGGCAAAGAUCGGUAGCCGGCCUGAGAGGGCACACGGCCACACUGGCACUGAAACACGGGCCAGACUCCUACGGGAGGCAGCAGUGGGGAAUCUUGCACAAUGGGGGAAACCCUGAUGCAGCGACGCCGCGUGAGCGAUGAAGCCCUUCGGGGUGUAAAGCUCUUUCGGCAGGGACGAUCAUGACGGUACCUGCAGAAGCAGCUGCGGCUAACUACGUGCCAGCAGCCGCGGUAAUACGUAGGCAGCGAGCGUUGUUCGGAGUUACUGGGCGUAAAGGGUGUGUAGGCGGUUGCUUAAGUUUGGUGUGAAAUCUCCCGGCUCAACUGGGAGGGUGCGCCGAAUACUGAGUGACUCGAGUGCGGGAGAGGAGAGUGGAAUUCCUGGUGUAGCGGUGAAAUGCGUAGAUAUCAGGAGGAACACCGGCGGUGUAGACGGCUCUCUGGACCGUAACUGACGCUGAGACACGAAAGCGUGGGUAGCAAACAGGAUUAGAUACCCUGGUAGUCCACGCCCUAAACGAUGCAUAUUUGGUGUGGGUCAUUCAGUUGAUCCGUGCCGGAGCUAACGCGUUAAAUAUGCCGCCUGGGGAGUACAGUCGCAAGGCUGAAACUCAAAGGAAUUGACGGGGGCCCGCACAAGCGGUGGAGCAUGUGGUUCAAUUCGACGCAACGCGAAGACCUUACCUGGGCUCGAACGGCUGGUUACCGGCGGUGGAAACAUCGCUACCCCGCAAGGGGUCCAGUCGAAGU
rnacentral:rRNA from 1 species